rnacentral:lncRNA from 1 species
UUUUUUUUUUUUUUUUUGGUCUUUUUGCCAUUUCUUUGGGCCACUCCCGCGGCAUAUGGAGGCCCUACAAAGAUAAAAUAAAUAAAAAAACUGACUUCGGUAUGUAUCUCUUUGAUAAACAGAAGCCUUUACCUUAAUAAGACUCAUUUUAACUUUUUCAUUAAAAAAAUUUUUUUUACUUUUAAUAUUUAUUGGAGACUGUUGCAAUAUCAUAAUUUUAGCCAGAGCAUUAGUGUUUCCUCAAAGUCACUAAAAAUUUCUAUAAGUCCACUCAAGAAAAAAGGUGACUGUGGUUAAAUGGGAAAAAAAUAAAAUGUAUUCCUUGGAAACAUACUGAUUACUUAUCUAGCUAGUUAGAGAAUUAUGUUGUUUCAUCCUUGAAAAUUGUGCUAUGGAAUAAAUUAAUUUCAUUGAUUUGUAAUACAUCUGAAAAAAUAACAUUUUCAGUACCACAAAAAAUUCUAAUGAUAAUAUUCAAUACUAAUAAGGACUGAAAUAGGAUGCUUCCAUAUACAGCUGCAUGUGUAAACUGGAAUAAUAUUUCUGGAAGGCAAUCAAAAUACCCUUGACCAAGCAUUUCACCUCUAGAACUUCAUCCUAGGGAAACAAGUCAUGGAUAUUAACCAAAAGGAAAAAAAAAAUAAGAAGAAAACGUUUAGCCACCAGGAUACAUUUAACGUCCAACAACAGCAAGCCAGUAAAAUAAAUCAUGAAUCAUCCUUAUAAUUGAACAUGAUGAAGCUACUUUAACUAUUUAGGCAAAUAUUUAGUAACAUAGAAAUGCUCACAAAAUUUUUGUUAUUGAAAAAAUUAGGUUAUAAAAAAGUACUUGUAUCAGUUAGAGUUCUUAAGAGCGAGGUCAGACUGACUGGUUUGAGUUUCAGAGCUACCAUUUAUAGUCCUGUGACCUUAAACCAGUAAACUAACCACUCUGUAGCUCAGUUUCACCAUUUGUAAAAUGGGGAUAAUACCAGUACGUAUGUCACAGAAUUAUCUUAAAACUUAAAUGAAUAUACAUAGAGCAUAUUGAAAUUUACCUGGCAUAUAGGAAGCCCCAUCUAAAAUUAGCUAUUAUUAAUAUCUAUUAAAAGUUAUUUUUAAUAUCAUUAGCACUUAUCGCCAGUAAAUUAAUUCAACUUUUAAGCUAAAUAAGAAGCAAAGGUGGGACGAUAAACCACAGGGCAAGAACCACACCCAAAGCACUCCGCAGAGUUGGUCCUGUGGAGUCACCACUGAGGCUGCCAAGCGCUGACCCCAUGGUUAACACUGCCAAGUCCUCCGAUGCUGGACACUGCAUGCUGCCCCAGCACAGCUGUCUCUGCUACCACUGGAAACCGGAUGCAGCUGCCAUCACUGCUGUGCCCGGGCCAGAACGGAUUCUGCGUCAUCCCUGCUGCUUUGAGUCACCAGGUCCUGAAUCAAAGCCUAGAGAGGAUACAUCUGCUUGGCUGCACCAAGUCCCCAGCUCCCAGAUGUAAGGGAGAUUGAGAAAAGAAGCACUGAGCAUUUUUAUCAUAUAGAAAAGGCAGAUUCUACUUUGUAAGUCAGGGGAUUCAAUACACUUAGCAAUUCUAUGUACAAGGCAACAAAAGCAGAAAGAUAUAAAUGAUCCUUUCAGGGUUUGAAAAAUACAGAUAUGACCUGAAUGUAGAUUUACAUGCAUAGAAAGAAAGGACUAAAAUAAUAUAUAUCAAAGCAUUAAUGAUUAAUUUCGAAUUGACCAAUGUGGCUGAUUUGAACUUUUUAUCUUUUGUCUCUGUACUUUCCAAACUAUCUAUGACAUAGAAAAGACAAAUUUGUGGCCAAAACUAAGAUCAUCAGGAGAUCACAGGGUGAAAGAAAGCAAAGGACAGAUGUUUCAUUAUUAUUCAAUUCUUCCCUCCUUUCAUGGCAAACUAGGAGUUGUUUAUACAGUUAUGCUUACGUUAAACUUGACAGUAAUGGAUUAAAGGAGAUCUUAAUUCUUGGGACAUAGAAUGCUCAAAAUAAUUGGAAGAGAACACUGAUGUUUUAGAUGUUACAAGAAUAAGUCUCAUCAUCAGAAGAUACAAAAUUUUUGUGGCUUUUUAAAAAGUUUUUGAUGACAAUUUUGUAAUUUUUACAUUACCACAAAUCAAAUAAGACCAUGACUUAUCUUUGUUUUAUUCAUCCAUUCAUUCAGAAAAUAUUUAUUGAGCACUUACUAUGAGUCAGGCAUUCUUCCGGGUUUUAGGGAUACAGCAGUUAACAAAAUAAGAUAAAACACUUUGCCCUCCUGGGGCUCACCUUUUAUAGAGGAAGAUACAUAAUAAGCAAAAGAAUUAAGUAAACAUAUCAUAUGUUAGAUGGUAAUAAGUGUUACAGAAGGAAAGAACACAGAGGUGGGAUGAGAGUUGCAAUUUUAAACAAGAUGACAGAGAAGAUGCCAUUGAGAAGACGAAUAUCCUUGAAGGAGGUGAGGAAGCCACUCCCGCGGUUACCUGAGGGAAGUACACUCCAGGGCAAGGCUGAAGUGGACUUGGGGGUCAAUAAGGCCAGCAUGGCUCAACUAAGGGCGUGCGGGCAUGUGCAGGGAAAGAAGACAGAGGAGUAAAGGCUAAUAAAGGUUGCUGAGUAUAUACAUGACAUUAUUUGACUUAGGUUCUAAUAGAAUCAUUCUGGCUGCUAUUUUGAGAACAGACUGAAGUAGGAAAGCCAGAUAGGUGACUCUUCUGAAUACCAAGGCAAGAAUAAUGGUGCCUCAGAUCGGGUAUCUUCGACAGUUUUUGCUCUUUUCAGGUAGCUACCUUUUAUUUAUUUAUUUUCUGGCUGCCCCCAAAGUAUGCAGAAGUUCCCUAGCCCAGGAUCAAACCCACACCAUAGCAGUGACCCAAGCCACUAC